rnacentral:rRNA from 1 species
AGUGGCGAACGGGUGAGUAACGCGUGAGUAUCUGCCCUUAGGAGGGGGACAACAGUUGGAAACGACUGCUAAUACCCCAUAUGUCUACGGAUGAAAGAUUUUAUCGCCUGAGGAUGAACUCGCGUCUGAUUAGCUAGUUGGUGAGGUAAUGGCUCACCAAGGCGACGAUCAGUAGCUGGUCUGAGAGGAUGAUCAGCCACACUGGGACUGAGACACGGCCCAGACUCCUACGGGAGGCAGCAGUGGGGAAUUUUCCGCAAUGGGGGCAACCCUGACGGAGCAAUACCGCGUGCGGGAGGACGGCCUGUGGGUUGUAAACCGCUUUUCUCAGGGAAGAAGACCUCACGGUACCUGAGGAAUCAGCAUCGGCUAACUCCGUGCCAGCAGCCGCGGUAAUACGGAGGAUGCAAGCGUUAUCCGGAAUUAUUGGGCGUAAAGCGUCCGUAGGUGGUUAAUCAAGUCUGCUGUUAAAGAGCGGAGCUUAACUCCGUUUAAGCGGUGGAAACUGGUUGACUAGAGAGUGGUAGGGGUAGAGGGAAUUCCCAGUGUAGCGGUGAAAUGCGUAGAUAUUGGGAAGAACACCGGUGGCGAAAGCGCUCUACUGGGCCACAUCUGACACUGAUGGACGAAAGCUAGGGGAGCGAAAGGGAUUAGAUACCCC